rnacentral:rRNA from 1 species
GAAUUUUGGACAAUGGGGGAAACCCUGAUCCAGCCCUCCCGCGUGUGCGAUGAAGGCCUUCGGGUUGUAAAGCAUUUUUGGCAGGGAAGAAAAGGUUCUGGCUAAUACCCGGAACUGCUGACGGUACCUGCAGAAUAAGCACCGGCUAACGACGUGCCCGCAGCCGCGGGAAUACGUAAGGUGCAAGCGUUAGUCGGAAUUACUGGGGGGAAAACGUGCGCAGGCGGUAUGAAAAGAAGGGUGGGAAAACCCCGGGCCUAACCUUGGAACUGCAUUCUUAACUGCCAGGCUAGAGGAUGUCAGGGGGGGGUAGGAUUCCGCGUGUAGCAGUGAAAUGCGUAGGGAUGCGGAGGAAUACCGAUGGCGAAGGCAGCCCCCUGGGAUAAUACUGACGCUCAUGCACGAAAGCGUGGGGAGCAAACA